rnacentral:rRNA from 1 species
GACGAACGCUGGCGGCGUGCUUAACACAUGCAAGUCGAACGAAGAGCGACGGAAGCUUGCUUCUAUCAAUCUUAGUGGCGAACGGGUGAGUAACGCGUAAUCAACCUGCCCUUCAGAGGGGGACAACAGUUGGAAACGACUGCUAAUACCGCAUACGGUCUAAUCUCGGCAUCGAGGAUGGAUGAAAGGUGGCCUCUACAUGUAAGCUAUCACUGAAGGAGGGGAUUGCGUCUGAUUAGCUAGUUGGAGGGGUAACGGCCCACCAAGGCGAUGAUCAGUAGCCGGUCUGAGAGGAUGAACGGCCACAUUGGGACUGAGACACGGCCCAGACUCCUACGGGAGGCAGCAGUGGGGAAUCUUCCGCAAUGGACGAAAGUCUGACGGAGCAACGCCGCGUGAGUGAUGACGGCCUUCGGGUUGUAAAGCUCUGUUAAUCGGGACGAAAGGCCUUCUUGCGAAUAGUGAGAAGGAUUGACGGUACCGGAAUAGAAAGCCACGGCUAACUACGUG